AGUGAAAUAGGUUAUUUUUGACUGUGUGUUUUCAAAACAUAAGGUGAUAUACUUAUCUUUCGCUG
rnacentral:tRNA from 1 species